GAUAAACGCUGGCGGCGUGCAUGAGACAUGCAAGUCGAACGAAGGAUCGGGCUUGCUCGAUCCUUAGUGGCGGACGGCUGAGUAACGCGUAGGUGACCUACCCCGAAGUGGGGAAUAACUGCCCGAAAGGGUGGCUAAUACCGCAUGUGGUCGCACGUUCAUUCGUGCGAGUAAAGCCGCAAGGCGCUUCGGGAGGGGCCUGCGUCCGAUUAGCUCGUUGGUGGGGUAAUGGCUUACCAAGGCGACGAUCGGUAGGUGGUCUGAGAGGACGAUCACCCAGACUGGGACUGAGACACGGCCCAGACUCCUACGGGAGGCAGCAGCCGGGAAUUUUGCUCAAUGGGGGAAACCCUGAAGCAGCAACGCCGCGUGAGGGAUGAAGGCCUUCGGGUUGUAAACCUCUUUUGUCAGGGACGAUGAUGACGGUACCUGGCGAAUAAGCCACGGCUAACUACGUG
rnacentral:rRNA from 1 species